rnacentral:rRNA from 2 species
UGAGGAAUAUUGGACAAUGGGCGAAAGCCUGAUCCAGCCAUGCCGCGUGUGUGAAGAAGGUCUUCGGAUUGUAAAGCACUUUAAGUUGGGAGGAAGGGCAGUAAGCGAAUACCUUGCUGUUUUGACGUUACCGACAGAAUAAGCACCGGCUAACUCUGUGCCAGCAGCCGCGGUAAUACAGAGGGUGCAAGCGUUAAUCGGAAUUACUGGGCGUAAAGCGCGCGUAGGUGGUUCGUUAAGUUGAAUGUGAAAGCCCCGGGCUCAACCUGGGAACUGCAUCCAAAACUGGCGAGCUAGAGUAGGGCAGAGGGUGGUGGAAUUUCCUGUGUAGCGGUGAAAUGCGUAGAUAUAGGAAGGAACACCAGUGGCGAAGGCGACCACCUGGGCUCAUACUGACACUGAGGUGCGAAAGCGUGGGGAGCAAACAGG